UAAGCGGAGGAAAAGAAACUAACAAGGAUUCCCCUAGUAACGGCGAGUGAAGUGGGAAAAGCUCAACUUUGUAAUCUGGCUGUCUUUGGCAGUCCGAGUUGUAGUCUAGAGAAGUGUUAUCCGCGCAGACCCUUAUAGAUUUCGGUUGGAAUGCCAAGUCAAAGAGGGUGAGAAUCCCGUAUUUGAUAAGGUGGUCUUGUGCAUUGUGAUACAUUUUCAAAGAGUCGAGUUGUUUGGGAAUGCAGCUCAAAGUGGGUGGUAAAUUCCAUCUAAAGCUAAAUAUUGGCGAGAGACCGAUAGCGAACAAGUACCGUGAGGGAAAGAUGAAAAGCACUUUGGAAAGAGAAUGAAAUAGUACCUGAAAUUGCUGAAAGGGAAACGAGUGAAGUUAGACUUGCGCAGUUGGUAUUCAGCCUUGGCUUCGGUCUUGGUGCAUUUGCCUUCUAUUGCAGGCCAACAUCAGUUUACUUUGCGGUAAAAGGGUUUGGGGAAUGUGGCUUCUUCGGGAGUGUUAUAGCCCUUUACUGGAUGCCGAAUCGUAGACUGAGGAACGCAGCGCGCCUUUAUGGCAAAGCUUUCAAGCUUCGAGCGCUUAGGAUGUUGGUAGAAUAGCUUUACACGACCCGUCUUGAAACACG
rnacentral:rRNA from 1 species